ensembl:rRNA 5S_rRNA 5S ribosomal RNA
GUCCUCAGUCAUACCAGACUGAGAGCACCUGAUUUUAGAAGCUAAACUGUCCUGGAUCAGCGCAGUACUUUGACAUUCACUCUAGAUAAACUGAAGGACA